rnacentral:lncRNA from 1 species
CCUUCAAUCUGCUUUGUAAUCAUCAAAAUCAAUCUAGGAGCAACAAUCUCCCCCUUUUUGAUAAUGACAAAAUAUUUGAACAAAAAUAUUUAUGUGAAUCACUAAUUUCAAAAGAAUGCAUUAUAGGUGUAUAUGCUUGAAAAGAGUAUGAUUCUUUUGGCAUGUAAUAUUUAUGCAAAAAUAGUUUGUCCAUUUUCUUAAAGAUUUGAAAAGGGUAUUAGAUCAUUUUGAGUUUAAGAUAUAUCA